rnacentral:rRNA from 1 species
AACGUAGGUGGCGAGCGUUAUCCGGAUUUACUGGGCGUAAAGCGUGCGUAGUCGGUUAUUUAAGUCGGAUGUGAAAUCCCCGGGCUCAACCUGGGAAUUGCAUUCGAUACUGGAUAGCUAGAGUUCGGCAGAGGGAAGCGGAAUUUCGGGUGUAGCGGUGAAAUGCGUAGAUAUCCGAAGGAACAUCAGUGGCGAAGGCGGCCUUCUGGACAGUGACUGACGCUGAGACGCGAAAGCGUGGGGAGCAAACAGG